UUUUUACUAUAACUAUGUCCCAAGCAAUAUUUGGGACAUACUUAGACUAAAA
rnacentral:pre_miRNA from 1 species